rnacentral:lncRNA from 7 species
GACCCGUAACCCAUAUGAGCCCACAUGUGCUCUCCCUGUAGGGCUACGUCAUGUGUAUUUUUUUUAUUUUCUCAACUCGUAUAUUGCAUCACUUUGGCGUCAUGCAAUAAGCUAAUGCACCAGCCAGCCGGACUUCAUGCCAUCCGAAUUCUUGACUCGCUCCUGCGCGUGAGCAAAUCCGCGGUGGCUUGCGUCGCAAUCUCCUGUGUGUUCGGGAUCAAAACCACAUAGGAGCUGGAGUCGUAAACCCCCGCGUAACAACCUCCGUGGAACUCGCGCAAGCCGUCUCUAUCCUGGUGUAUAAGUGCCAUACAUCCACGCGCGCCCCGCAGCAGCUAUCCAAAGAGAGAUUUCUUCGGGCCGCCAUUAGCGCAGAGAGGAGGGGAACCAGUCCGCCACCGGUGCUGAGCCAGGAGAGGAGAGAGAGUGUCGUUGUAGUCAGCGCCGACGCACCGGGGAUCUCUGGUGGAAGAGCGCUGUGCCUCGGGGUGCCUUCACGUGGGAGUCAUCAUCGGAUCUAGCGCUGAUGGCAUGGGAGACUCCCUUGGACGCGGGGAUUCUGCUUGAUGCUUGAUUGGCGCGGCAAAUCCUAUGGGCGUCGUGGCCAGCUUCUCCGAUGCUUCCUC